rnacentral:rRNA from 1 species
GGGGAAUUUUGGACAAUGGGCGCAAGCCUGAUCCAGCAAUGCCGCGUGCAGGAUGAAGGCCUUCGGGUUGUAAACCGCUUUCAGCAGGGACGAAGGUUUUCUGACGGUACCUGCAGAAGAAGCACCGGCUAACUACGUGCCAGCAGCCGCGGUAAUACGUAGGGUGCGAGCGUUAAUCGGAAUUACUGGGCGUAAAGCGUGCGCAGGCGGUUUGGUAAGACAGGUGUGAAAUCCCCGGGCUUAACCUGGGAACUGCGCUUGUGACUGCCAGGCUAGAGUACGGCAGAGGGGGGUGGAAUUCCACGUGUAGCAGUGAAAUGCGUAGAGAUGUGGAGGAACACCGAUGGCGAAGGCAGCCCCCUGGGCCUGUACUGACGCUCAUGCACGAAAGCGUGGGGAGCAAACA